rnacentral:lncRNA from 1 species
AGGAAUGAUGGGGAUUUGUUUAAAAAAUCUGGGUGUGUGUUAAUACCACUUAACAUUUCGCUCAAGUAAUAAUUGUAGGUCGGUUUUUUUCUUUUUUUUUUUUUCGUAAUUUGAAUCUUUGAUAUAAAAGUUUGCCAGUUAAAUAAAUAUAGCUCUCCAUUCUUUUGCUCAUUCGAUAAAUCGGCAAUCGUUUACUCGAGCAACAUUCAUCAAUUUGAAAGUCGUCACGUCAC